UAAAUGUUACAACUGGGAAAGAUGGUGAUCGUUAGCAGGAGACCUCACACAGUCAAAGGUUAGAAGAGUGAAGCUGAAGGAAGUCUCCAGCCUGAACGGAGCUGGGCAGGAUCCGUGCCCAGGCCUGGAGAACGGAAGGUCUGGGCGAGAGAGAACAUGGUUCGUUAGAAUAACUGAAAGAAGUUCAGUGUAUCUGGAGUGUGUGAAGGAAAGUGGUGAGAGAAGAGGCUGGAAAGAUAAAAUUUCAAAAAUUCUUAACAUGGCUUGAAGGGCCCUUCGGGAACCAGCGCCCUUCCCCCUGGACACUGACCGUCUCUGUUCCUUCUGUGUACUAAGCUCUGUGGACCUGAGGAUGAUCACAUAUGACCUGCCUUGAAACUACACACAGGUCAUAACUGUUUGCUUCACUGAGGAACAAACGAUCGAAGUGGAUGAUUUAAGAGACUUGUAGGAGGUCAGACCAAUAAGACUUGGAAGGAAGAAGGACACCAAGGAUGAAACGAAGGUUUCUGGCUUGAGUAACUGGUUGGUUUAGGGAACAAUUAGAGAGGAGGCAGAGAAGAUGGUUCAAUUUGGCUUACACUGAGUUUGAGGUGAUCUCAAGUUAUCCAAGAGGAGAUGCUAAACAGGCAACCGGAUAUAAGUACUUAGCAUAUGCCAGAUUCUGUGCCAGGCACUU
rnacentral:lncRNA from 1 species